CACACACACACACACACUUAAAAAAUUAAAGCAGAAGCACAAAGCCUGAGGUCCAGUGUUGCAGUCUUCAGCCUCCACCCAGCAUGGUGCAGAGCUCCUGACUUGGACUGCUAGAGCUUCUGAGCUUGGACCAGCACAGUGGCUCAGUGGGCAAAGGAGCUUGUCGCCAAACCCUGACAACUUGAGUCCAGUCUCAGGGAUCUAAGUGGGAGAAAAAGAAGUAACUUGUGAAAGUUGCCCUCUGAACUUUACAUACACCAUAGUAUGCAUGUUUACACACACACACACACACACACACACACACGCAAAUAAUUGUAAAAAAGAUUAAAUUAUUCAGUGAGGCUCCUUGUUCUCUCCUUUCUUGACAUACAGUCAAGGGGCAUUGAUGGUAUGGGAGCCAGGACCUGCUUCUGGUUGCUAUCUCCUACCUGACCUCUGAGAAUCCAUUAUCAGCAGGAUCUCUCAUCCUUUAUCUAAUGGCACCUCUUUGCAGUCCCUAGCAUGUGGUCAUGCAUAAAUCACACAGGUACACACAUAGCCCAAUACAUAUAACAACAUACACACAAACAUUUUCCAUUCCAGCCACCUCCUCCAGUCCUGGAUUCUCCCCCACCUUGACCUUGCUCCUACUGGGUUCCUCCACGUGCCUUGGCCUUGCCCCUGGGAUCUUAGGUGAAACCUGACUCUUUCAGGUGACUUUUGGCUUUUCCUAGACACAACUGGAACUUCACUUGGGUGCUGCCCCCACAAACCAGCCUGGUAAAAAGCACAGCGAUUUAGCUCUGGGCUGGAACGGAAGACUGGUUCCUUCAAUACGUCCCAUCUUCCCCCCUGACCCAGUCUACUACAGUAGAGCUUUGGAGAUUAGCCAGGUGGCAGAUCUGGACACUCCACCUGCCACACAGGUCCCCGAGGAUGUCCUAGAAAACACUUGCCACCUUAACAGCUCGAGAUCUCCAGACACUUCUGAUUAACAGGUCUCUGGUGAGCACAUAAUGGUUUUCUUCCCCCAAAUUCUUAAAAAGAAGAGAAAGGCCUGAAUGGCAGUCAGCACUGGCAGAAGCUGGCCUCUUCAUUGUGAAGUGAGGAAGGAGACUGAAAAAGGAAAUGGGAAGAAAGCAGAUACGCCGAUAGCCAUGCUGGAGCGCAUCCAGAUGCCAAUACCAUGAGAUAUUUAUGUAGAAGGUGGAGACUUCCGAGGACCAUGCCCUUGGCCUGUGACUAAUCUACGAUGAACUUACACUUUUCCACGUUCCCUAGGACAAGAUGGCGCCCCUCAUCAGUCUGCUUCACAGACAAGAAGCUGAUACUAGAGCUAAGGCAGCUGCCGAAGGUCUGGGCAGGACCCAACUCAGAGCCACGCUGCUUAGUCUUGUUGUGUUAUCUGAGCCUUUGCAAAAAAAAAUAUCCAAGUUGCUUGCUGCGGUGGUCCAUAAUUCACAAUUCUGUUCACUUCUGGGAACAUAAGCCCCAGAGCAGUGAAAGGCCUGACUAUGCCCAGCAUCCAGGGGCUGGAGCCCAGUGAGGCUGGGGAGAAGCCACGCUCACCCGUACUGGAAACCUAACACCAGUCUCCUUCCCUCUCGCUUGAAAGUGCUCUAGAGUUUCUGUGUUCACAAUGCAUCUCUUUGGAAGGCUGCCCUCCAAGGGUUGCCAUGGUGACUAUUUUGGUACUGCAUGCUAGAAAAAGCUGAGGCACCUGCUGGUCACACCACCAAAACUUGUCUCUGAAAAAUCAGCAGAUGGCAUUUGUCAGAAAUCCCUAUUUCUUGAUUAAUUUGGGAAAAGGGAGAGUGCGUGUGGCGGUGCCAAUAUCCUUGAACCUGAAUGGACGGUCCAUGUUGGUGUUGGGGGGAGAUGGGCUGCAGCUGUGCUGAGACCCCCUUCCGCUGACAUGCUGGGUCACUUAGGUUGACUUGGACUCUAGUAAAGGAGAAGAAGAGGAAGAACAUGAUUUUGCUUUCACAUCAAAGGGGUUGGAAUUUCAGGUUCUGUUCUGGAACGGCUACUUCUAGUAAAUCCAAUUGUAGCCUGAGCUAACCUGGAACUCACUAUGUAGCCCAGACUGGCCUCAAACUCAUGCAAACACUCUUGCUUGAGCCUCCCAAGUGCUGGGAUCAAAGGCGUGGCCACCAGGUCUGAUUCCCGUGAGUUCUUAAGUAGGCCUCAAAUAAAAAAUGGGUUUUAUUUAAAUCUCACUUCUGUCACCAACUAAUUGUGUGACUAGCAAUUUCCCCAUCUCACCUGAACCUCAGUUUCCUCAUGUGUAAAGCAGGGAUGGUACUCUUUAAUCUCACAAGAAUUCACUAGGAUUACUUAGAACUUUGUAGCUGGGCUUAUGAAAACAGGCAGUUUUGCUGUCAGCCUAAGCAGUGAUAUUAUGAUCGGCACUCCUGGGUGCCCACUGUGCAGGGUACCUCUGUGAUAACCGCCAUCUUUCCAGGAACUUACCCACCUCUCACAUGUGGCUCUCACAUGUGACUCUCACAUGUGGCUCUCAAGCACCUUGUCACGGUUCCAGUUCCUGUGCGUUCCCAGCCUUUCCUAGGACACUCUGACUCUGGUGUGGGCUGGCUCCUGAGGCAAGCAUCCAGAACCACCAGUGGGAUAGGCACCGCGAGGCUUCUGCAGAUUCAUGUGUUUCCACUCCCAACAAUAGGUUCUCUAUGGAGAAUGAGGCUCACACUCCUCCAACAAUUCGUCCCUAUCAUGAACACGGUAGAUCAAGGCCGGCAGAGCACGGGCCACUGUUCUCCCCUCUCUGACUGUGUCAGGCAUCGAUGAGCAAUUUCAGCACCCUUCUUACUGGGCUGGCGGGCUUACGUGCCUUCUAGAAGACAAUGUGCAAGGCAGCUGGUAAACAGGAAAAAGAAUCAAGGAAUGGAACUUAACUGCUAAUUCCACUGGCAGUGUUGCCUUUAACUAGUCGCGUGAGCUUGAGUGAAUCCUGUCUCUCUCCGAGGUUCAGUGUCCGUACUUGAAAUGUGCCGAGUUACUUCCUUCCAUUAUUUUUUUAAAUAAUAAAAUGCAAGAUAGUAAGAUAAAGGAGAAACUGGCACACUGGAAUUGGACAAAACAGUCAGAAGGAAAAGAGUCCAAGAGACAGCACAAGAGACAAGGACCCACGUGUCUGCACACCCAGGAGCCCCACAGAACCGUCAAACCGAGAGCUGUGAUACACACCCCGAGGACCUGUGCAGACCUGUGCCUGCUGCUUCCGUCUCUGUGAGUUCCUGAGAGCUUUGUUCAUGCUGAUUUAGAGGGUCCGGUUUCCUUGGUGUCCCCCUUCCCUUUUUGCCUCCUCUUCUGCAGGGUUUCCUGAGCCCUGAGGAGAGGAGUUAAUGGAGACAUCCCAUUCAGGGCUGAGUGUUCCAAGGUCUCUCAAUCUGUAUGCUGUCUGGCUGUGGUCUCUGCAUUUGUUCCCAUCUGCUGCAGAAGGAGGCUUCUCUGAUGAUGGCUGAGCAAGGAACCAGUCUGCUUCCCUGGCCAGAGUCUACUUCCGCCUAGCUUUAAUUCUCUGCCAUCUUACCAGCCAGCCCACCACCCCCACCACAGACACAUUCUCUCCCAUCAGGUGGGCUCCCAACACCGAAUGCAAGCUCUGAUCUGUUCCCUUCCUGGGACUUGUCCAAAUGAUCAGAUUUUAUCAAACAUCCUGGGAUGGCCAAGGGCCAAGUUAAACAUUCUCAGAUGGUUGGAAUUACCAAACUGUAGCAUUUUUGUACAGAAAGUCACCUCAUAGCACAUUGAGCUGAAGCUCCCAUAAGAAAGAUGGUAAAACCAGGCCAAGAGAGGUUCAUGGCCUUCCUUGAGGCCACACAGCAAGCAGUGAGUUGAUCUGGUUUCUCUCUGGGCACCCAGCAGGUCUGAGGUCUGAUGCUGCUGAGCUUGAGAAGGGCCACGGCUCUUCUCAGAGCCAGAGAAGAUGCUGAGCAUGAUCCCGCUCCCAGAGCCCCACAGCUGGGGGUCUGCAGUGGGCAUCACUGCAUGUUGCAUGGGAGAGCAGUCAAGGAAGGCUCAUGGGGGUUAAACCCUGACACCAGUCUCUGCACAGGACCUGAAGGUGAUCCUGGAUCCUCUUGGGGCUUCAUUCUCACCUGUUAGAAGAGGUGACUUAUGUGGAUAUUGGCUCUCAGUGAACCUCAAGCUUGACUAAGCAACUGGAAGCACCCAGCAGCAGCUGCCAUCACUGCCCUGGAGGUUGCGUUUCACCGGUCUGCGUCAUCACCAGCAUCUGUAUGCAUGUAAAAAGGUUCACACAUGACUUGAAUCCAUAGCCAGGACCGGCGAGUUGAUGUGGUGUGAUGGUCAAUCUUGAUUGUCAGCUCAGUGUGAUCUGGAGUCAUCUAUGGGACAGAUCUCUGGGCGUGUCUUUUCAGAAUUUUCCAAAUGAAGUUGAUGGAGGUAGGGAAUGCACCCUAAAUGUGAUUGAUUGGUAUCCUUCCGUGGGCGGAAGCCCAGGCUGCGUGAAAAGGAGAAAUGUUGAUGAGCGUCAGCCUGCAUCUCUCAGCUUCCUGACUAUGAACACUAUGUGAAGAUCUGCCUUAGGCUCCUGUUGCCACGCCUUCCCUGUCUGGAUGGACGGCGUUCCCCCAGCUAUAAGCCAAAGCAAACCUCCCUCCCUCCUAUUGCUUGCUUGUCAGGCAGGGUUGCAACAGUAAGGAAAGCAGCUAACACAAAGGCCUUCCCUUGGAAUGUGUAUCAUGUCCUCAUCCCGGAACCUGUGACUAGUCCUCUAUUUGGAAAGAGCUUCUCACAGGUGUUUUGCUAAGUAUUUUAGAAGGAAGAAAGCACUCUGCAUUGUUUGAUGGCCUCUUCAUUCAGAGACGUGCGUGCGUGCGUGUAUGUGUGUGUGUGUGUGUGUGUGUGUGUGAGCUGACAGUAGGAGGCAGCGUGAUAGUGUAAGCAGACUUGGAGAGACGUGUCCACAUGCUUGAGAACAUCCUCACACACGCAAGGAGCUGAAAGGAGCAAGGGGAUGGACUGGCUUCUGCAGCCCCAAGAGGUGGCACAGCACAGAACUGCUGACGUCAUGCUUUGGGACAUCCGCCUUCUAGAAGUGGGAGAAGACAGAUUUGUGUUGUUCCUGGCCCUUUGGUCACCUGAUCUGAGUUUUUCAACAGCCAAAUGCAGCUAUGGAUGAGUUUAAUUUAGACGUGGGUGAGGAAUCUCUAGACCUCUCUGCAUUCCCAGGUCGAGUGGAGGUCUGCCGCUUGGUGGCUGGAGCUCAGUGUGACUGUCCUGGGCAUGAAUAUAUUGACUUCAGGGGAGGGGUCUUAGAAGGCCUUUAUUCUUAGCUGGCUACUUUAAACAGCUAUUUAAUUUCUGUUUUUUUUUACCACAACACUAAAUUUUAUUUUGGUAUACAAAAAAACAGUUCCUGCAAAAUACGCUUCAAUGUCAAAAAUGUUAAUAGUGGUUUUUGUUAUUUUUAGAAGUUGUACUUAAAGAGGUUCAUCUUGAUUUCAUUUGGAUGAGUAGCCUAAUUAAUUUUCUCAAUGAGUUUACAUUAUAGAAUAUUUCGGAAAAGGUAAAGACAUAGGCCGAUAGAGAUUUUAAAUGACAUAAGUUAGCCUUUCACCUUCUCUUUCGAAUGACAUUCAAGUGAACUCUUCAAACAAUUUGCUGAAAAAUUCUGCAAGAACACAGUAUCUAAUAUCGUGCUUGGCUAUUCAUUGGUAAUAUAGUAAAUACUGAAUGAAGUUAAUUGUUUUUGGCUUCUCUGAGAAAUACUAUAAUAGAGCAAAAUAAUGCCAA